AGAGUUUGAUCAUGGCUCAGGAUGAACGCUAGCGACAGGCUUAACACAUGCAAGUCGAGGGGCAGCGAUGAUUUGUAGCAAUACAGAUUGAUGGCGACCGGCGCACGGGUGAGUAACGCGUAUGCGAACUUACCUAUCAGAGGGGGAUAGCCCGGCGAAAGUCGGAUUAAUACCCCAUAAAACAGGGGUCCCGUAUGGGAAUAUUUAGUUAAAGAUUCAUCGCUGAUAGAUAGGCAUGCGUU
rnacentral:rRNA from 1 species